UGCUCCUUAGGUCAGCGGCGGACGGGUGAGUAACACGUGGGUAACCUGCCUGUAAGACUGGGAUAACUCCGGGAAACCGGGGCUAAUACCGGAUGCUUGAUUGAACCGCAUGGUUCAAUCAUAAAAGGUGGCUUUUAGCUACCACUUACAGAUGGACCCGCGGCGCAUUAGCUAGUUGGUGAGGUAACGGCUCACCAAGGCGACGAUGCGUAGCCGACCUGAGAGGGUGAUCGGCCACACUGGGACUGAGACACGGCCCAGACUCCUACGGGAGGCAGCAGUAGGGAAUCUUCCGCAAUGGACGAAAGUCUGACGGAGCAACGCCGCGUGAGUGAUGAAGGUUUUCGGAUCGUAAAACUCUGUUGUUAGGGAAGAACAAGUACCGUUCGAAUAGGGCGGUACCUUGACGGUACCUAACCAGAAAGCCACGGCUAACUACGUGCCAGCAGC
rnacentral:rRNA from 1 species